UGGGGAAUUUUGGACAAUGGGCGAAAGCCUGAUCCAGCAAUGCCGCGUGUGUGAAGAAGGCCUUCGGGUUGUAAAGCACUUUUGUCCGGAAAGAAAUGGCUCUGGUUAAUACCUGGGGUCGAUGACGGUACCGGAAGAAUAAGGACCGGCUAACUACGUGCCAGCAGCCGCGGUAAUACGUAGGGUCCAAGCGUUAAUCGGAAUUACUGGGCGUAAAGCGUGCGCAGGCGGUUGUGCAAGACCGAUGUGAAAUCCCCGAGCUUAACUUGGGAAUUGCAUUGGUGACUGCACGGCUAGAGUGUGUCAGAGGGGGGUAGAAUUCCACGUGUAGCAGUGAAAUGCGUAGAGAUGUGGAGGAAUACCGAUGGCGAAGGCAGCCCCCUGGGAUAACACUGACGCUCAUGCACGAAAGCGUGGGGAGCAAACAGGAUUAGAUACCCUGGUAGUCCACGCCCUAAAACGAUGUCAACUAGUUGUUGGGGAUUCAUUUCCUUAGUAACGUAGCUAACGCGUGAAG
rnacentral:rRNA from 1 species